UGCGCCUAACAGGUGUACAAAAUGUGGAAAUCCUGGUCAUAAUACCAGGGGGUUGCAAGAGCACAGAAGUGAACUCAGAUGCACAACGCAGACAGGUAUAAGGUUAUUUACUAGCUUUUAUUUCACCGAGUAUAACUUCACAUAAUGCUAGGUCUGACUGUAUUUUUUUUAUGACAGAGAAAACCAAAGAAAAAUGUUGAAAAUGCAUCUGCAUCUAAUGGAUUUGUUAGUGCAUCUACUGCAGUUGGUACUGCAUCUAAUGCAGCUGAAACUGCAUCUACCGCAGUUAGUACU
rnacentral:lncRNA from 1 species